rnacentral:hammerhead_ribozyme from 1 species
AUCCAGAUGACGAGUCCCAAAUAUGACGAGUUGCGCGUCCUGGAU